GGGACUUGAGGCAGGAGCUGACCUAAGAGAAAACAGCCCGUGAACCCGUGCGGAGAGAGGCUGCUGGAGCUCCAGGACCUACAUCUGCCUGGACUGUGUUCUGGAGGCAUCAGGUCAGACUUCCUCAUCCUCUCCAUCACUGAUGGUCGCUCCUGUCCAAAAUCUCCUCCUGGAUCCGCAAAAAGAGAUUCCACCCAGAAGAAUACAUACUGGAAGGGACCACAUCUUGAGAAGACAGCCAUUCAUCACAUGGGACCCAACGUACCGGGGCUCAGAACACCCUCUUCCCAGUGGACAGCCAUUAACACAGAAACGCACAGCUAGUCAAGGUGCCGACAAAGCAUCAACGGUAUGGUCAGCCACAAAGGUGACUUUUAUAUCAACUGUAGCCGCCUGCGGCCACACUAACUGGGUUCCUGAGUGGGAGGCCGGAGCGGUAUGGAAGGAAACGGCGAGAGAAAUAAUGAUCAACAAACCACCAAACCCUUGGGGACCCAGUGCAGAAGAGGGGACAGCGAGACUAUAAGAGUCAGGUCAUGGAGGACCAGAGAGAAACUGUGUCCUCUGAGUAUGGCAAGGCCACAACACUCAUGAACUCAUGGUAACUGUGGGAACGCAAGACCAGCACUGGAUCAGGACAACCAUCAUUCUACCAUGAGGGAGGAGGGACUUGUGGACCCCCCACCCAGCUGAGGAGCUGCUCAGAGUUAAUGGUUUCUGUGGGAAAGAGAGACAGUGUGGGUCCUGACAGAUUGACCAUGCUCCAGUAGAUGGCUCUACACCCAUGAGUAUUCAGGCAGCACAAAUCAGGGUUUUUGUUUGGUUGAUUGGGCUUGCUUUUUUUUUUUCCCCCAUUAGAAAAGGGCUCAGUAGGUCUGUUGGCACAUGCUUCAAUCCCAGUACUCCAGGAAGCAGAGGCAGGUGGAUCUCUAUGAGUUAGAGACCAGCUUGGUCUAUAUAGUGAGUUCCAGGCCAGCCACAGCUACACAAUGAAACCCUGUCUCAAAACAAACAAAAAUGAGGGCAAGAAGUUGGGGGUGGAUCUAAAAGGAGCUAAGGGAGAGAGUACAGGGUGAAUAUGUUCUAAAUACAUUAUAUGAAAUUCUUUAUUUUAAAAUAUAUACUAUACAUGC